AACCUGCCUUGGAUGGGAAUAACAGCUGGAAACAGCUGCUAAUACCGCAUAAUAUAUCUGGGCCGCAUGGCUCUGGAUAUCAAAGAUUUAUCGCUCUGAGAUGGACUCGCGUCUGAUUAGCUGGUUGGCGGGGUAACGGCCCACCAAGGCGACGAUCAGUAGCCGGACUGAGAGGUUGGCCGGCCACAUUGGGACUGAGACACGGCCCAGACUCCUACGGGAGGCAGCAG
rnacentral:rRNA from 1 species